GGCGUUAUAGUGUAGUGGUUAUCACUCGAGAUUCUGAUACUUCAACUUCUCGAAACCCAGGUUCGAGCCCUGGUAAUGCCU